rnacentral:lncRNA from 1 species
AUUCGGUGUAUGGAAGGACUGUAAGGUGUACAUGUCCAACUGGCAGGUGUCAUCUGACCUUGACCUCAUUUUCAUGGUUCAGUGGUUAUAGUUAAGUUUUUGUGUUUUGGUCUGUUUUUCUCAUACUUUAUGCAAUAGGUCUACUAUAUUUGUUGUAUGGAAUGAUUGUAAGGUGUAGAUGUCUAGCUGGCAGAUGUCAUCUGACCUUGACCUCAUUUUCAUGGUUCAGUGGUUAUAGUUACGUUUUUGUGUUUUGGUCUGUUUUUCUUAUACUUUAUGCAAUAGGUUUACUAUAUUUGUUGUAUGGAAUGAUUGUAAGGUGAACAUGUCUAACGGACAGAUGUCAUCUGACCUUGACCUCAUUUUCAUGGUUCAGUGGUCAAAGUUAAGUUUUUCAGUUUUGGUCUUUUUCUCU